UACGUAGGUGGCAAGCGUUGUCCGGAUUUAUUGGGUUUAAAGGGUGCGUAGGCGGCCCUGUAAGUCAGUGCUGAAAUAUCCCAGCUUAACUGGGAGGGUGGCAUUGAUACUGCGGGGCUAGAGUACAGAUGAGGUAGGCGGAAUUGACGGUGUAGCGGUGAAAUGCUUAGAUAUCGUCAAGAACACCUAUAGCGAUGGCAGCUUACUAGGCUGUAACUGACGCUGAGGCACGAAAGUGUGGGGAUCAAACAGG
rnacentral:rRNA from 1 species